AACGAACGCUGGCGGCAGGCUUAACACAUGCAAGUCGAACGCAUCCUUCGGGGUGAGUGGCAGACGGGUGAGUAACGCGUGGGAACGUGCCCUUCAGUUCGGGAUAACCCAGGGAAACUUGGGCUAAUACCGGAUACGUGCGAGAGCAGAAAGAUUUAUCGCUGAAGGAUCGGCACGCGUCUGAUUAGCUAGUUGGUGGGGUAAUGGCCCACAAAGGCGACGAUCAGUAGCUGGUCUGAGAGGAUGAGCAGCCACAUUGGGACUGAGACACGGCCCAAACUCCUACGGGAGGCAGCAGUGGGGAAUAUGGGACAAUGGGCGCAAGCCUGAUCCAGCCAUGCCGCGUGAGUGAUGAAGGCCUUAGGGUUGUAAAGCUCUUUCGUCCGGGACGAUAAGGACGGUACCGGAAGAAGAAGCCCCGGCUAACUUCGUGCCAGCAGCCGCCGUAA
rnacentral:rRNA from 1 species